rnacentral:lncRNA from 1 species
GGUCCCGAGUGAUGGUGGCUUAUGCAGAGGACAGGCUGAGCCCUGCACGAGUGGUUAGCCCGGCUGAGCUGCUCGCCACGCCUGCUGGAGGGCGGGGGUGAACCUCAGGACCUCGACGUUGAACCCAAGAGGAAGCAUGUCUAAAAAAGCCCGGAGCAAGGGCGAGAAGCCCGAGAUGGAGAUGGACCCGGUGCAGAUGGCCAACGAGGAGCUGCGGGCCAAGCUGACCAGCAUCCAGAUCGAGUUCCAGCAGGAGAAGAGCAAGGUGGGGAGGCUGCGCGAGCGGCUGCAGGAGGCCAAGCUGGAGCGCGAGCAGGAGCAGCGGCGGCACACGGCGCACAUCUCGGAGCUCAAGGCCAAGCUGCACGAGGAGAAGACCAAGGAGCUGCAGGCUCUGCGCGAGGCUCUGCUGCGCGACGGGGCGGCCGACAAGGUCAAGUCGGCGCUGCUGGCCGAGGCGCGCGACGAGGCGCGCAGGGCCUUCGAUGGCGAGCGCCUGCGCCUGCAGCAGGACAUCUUGGAGCUCAAAGCGGCACGCAAGCAGGCGGAGGAGGCGCUCAGCAACUGCGUGCAGGCGGACAAGGCCAAGGCGGCCGACCUGCGCGCCGCCUACCAGGCGCACCAGGACGAGGCGCACCGCAUCAAGCGGGAGUGCGAACGCGACAUCCGCAGGCUGAUGGAUGAGAUCAAAGGGAAAGACCGGGUGAUCUUGGCCCUGGAGAAGGAGCUGGGUGUGCAGGCUGGGCAGACCCAGCGGCUGCUUCUGCAGAAAGAGGCUUUGGAUGAGCAGCUGGUCCAGGUCAAGGAGGCUGAGCGGCACCACAGCAGCCCAAAGAGGGAGCUGCCGCCAGGCAUCGGGGACAUGGCGGAGCUCAUGGGCAACCAGGAUCAGCAUAUGGAUGAACGAGAUGCGAGGCGAUUCCAACUAAAAAUUGCUGAGCUGAAUUCAGUGAUCCGGAAGCUGGAAGACAGAAAUACCCUGUUGGCAGAUGAGAGGAACGAGCUGCUGAAGCGGGCACGGGAGACUGAGGUGCAGCUGAAGCCGCUGGUGGAGAAGAACAAGCGCAUGAACAAGAAGAAUGAGGACCUGCUGCAGAGCAUCCAGCGGAUGGAGGAGAAGCUCAAGAACCUCACUCGGGAGAACGUGGAGAUGAAAGAGAAGCUCUCAGCCCAGGCCUCACUGAAGCGCCACACGUCCCUAACCGACCUCAGCCUGACAAGGGACGAGCAGGAGAUAGAGUUCCUGAGACUCCAGGUGCUGGAGCAGCAGCACGUCAUAGACGACCUCUCACUGGAGAGAGAACGGCUGUUGCGCUCCAAGAGGCAUCGAGGGAAAAGCCUGAAGCCGCCCAAGAUCCGGCUUUCAGAAGAACGGGGAAAUAAAAAGAGCAUUGGGGUUUGGAUGUGUUCCUCCAGCUGUGACUGUGGAAUGCUCCUUUGUACCCUGGAUUUCCCCUUCACAUUAUUCUAUAAGCGUUUAUCCCUGUCAUAUACGGCGGUGAUACAGAAGCAUGUUGUGGAGACAUUUUUUGGAUUUGACGAGGAGUCCGUGGACUCGGAGACUUUGUCGGAGAUGUCCUACAACACAGACAGGACCGACAGGACCCCGGCCACCCCUGAGGAGGACUUGGACGAGAGCACGGCCAGAGAAGAGGCCGACCUGCGGUUCUGCCAGCUGACCCGGGAGUACCAGGCCCUGCAGCGGGCCUACGCCCUGCUUCAGGAGCAGGUCGGGGGGACGCUGGAUGCUGAGCGGGAGGCCCGGACUCGGGAGCAGCUGCAGGCUGAUCUGCUGCGGUGUCAGGCCAAGAUCGAAGACUUGGAGAAGUUGCUGGCUGAGAGGGGACAGGAUUCCACGUGGGUGGAGGAGAAGCAGCUGCUCAUCAGGACAAACCAAGACCUGCUGGAGAAGAUUUACAGGCUAGAAAUGGAGGAGAACCAGCUGAAGAGCGAAAUGCAAGAUGCGAAGGAUCAGAACGAGCUGUUAGAAUUCAGAGUGCUAGAACUCGAAGAGAGAGAGCGGGGGUCUUCAGCCUUUAACCUCCGAAUCACCGCCUUCCCCGAGAACAACAGCAGCGCCCUCCAGCUGUUCUGUCACCAGGAAGGAGUGAAGGAUGUGAAUAUUUCUGAACUUAUGAAGAAAUUAGAUAUCCUUGGCGAUAAUGGGAAUUUGAGAAAUGAAGAACAGGUUGCAAUAAUCCAAGCCGGAACUGUGCUUGCCCUGUGUGAAAAGGUAGAGCCCAGCGGCGGUUCUGUGCGCGUGCCUGUCUCACACCCUGCACCACAUGAGAAACCGCACCGUGGUGUUGCGCUUGGCGGGGAGCAUGUAAGGGUCUGUCUGCGUCUGCAUGUGCCCAGGCAUGCCUCGUCACGUGCUGGUGUAGCAAUGGCAGGGCUGCGGAAACACAGGCCUUGGCAGGGAACAGUCCUGGCCCGCGGUGUAUUUCUGCACAGGUUUUCCCACACCUGUUUUCCUGUGCUUAGUGGGAAUCGUACCCGAACACCCCACUUUCUUACCCCUCUGUGUCAGCCAUUUAGAAUGGGCCUGACAUCUGUCCCACUGGCUGGGCCACCUGCUCGUGCAGGUACACCCCAGACUGCUGUAGCAGCCUCCACAGACAGGUGUCUGGGCGCUCCCCCUCUUUCUCUGUUACGGAGCGUGAACACACGAGCAUCUUUGCACAUAGACCCCAUCUCACUGGGGAACCCCUCUCCGGGAGAGGGUGUAGAAGUGGAAUCACUGGGCCAGACGGUAAGAACAUUCCCACGGGCAUUGGUGUUGGCAAACAGUUUCUAGAACAGCGGCCCCAGUUCCCUUUCUACCUGCAGCAUCAGCUGCCGUGUUGCUGCCUUCUUGCUCCACAUGACGUCUGCCACUCACAGAGCUCGGUCCGUCUGAUAGGCAGAGGACAAUAGGAUAUCACUGUUUCCAUUUUCAUUUAUUUGGGUGUCAGUG